rnacentral:rRNA from 1 species
UCUGGCUCAGGAUGAACGCUAGCUACAGGCCUAACACAUGCAAGUCGAGGGGAAACGGCAGCUUAGCUUGCUAAGCUGGACGUCGACCGGCGCACGGGUGAGUAACGCGUAUCCGACCUGCCCCACGGUGAGGGAUAACCCGCGGAAACGCGGCCUAAUACCUCAUGGUCUCCGAGUUUGCCAUCAACCUUGGAGUAAAGAUUCAUUGCCGUGGGAUGGGGAUGCGUCUGAUUAGCUUGUUGGCGGGGCAACGGCCCACCAAGGCUACGAUCAGUAGGGGUUCUGAGAGGAAAGCCCCCCACAUUGGAACUGAGACACGGUCCAAACUCCUACGGGAGGCAGCAGUGAGGAAUAUUGGUCAAUGGGCGAGAGCCUGAACCAGCCAAGUAGCGUGCAGGAAGACGGCCCUAUGGGUUGUAAACUGCUUUUAUGCGGGGAUAAAGCGGGCGACGUGUCGCCCUUUGCAGGUACCGCAUGAAUAAGGACCGGCUAAUUCCGUGCCAGCAGCCGCGGUAAUACGGAAGGUCCGGGCGUUAUCCGGAUUUAUUGGGUUUAAAGGGAGCGCAGGCCGGGUAUUAAGCGUGUUGUGAAAUGUAGGCGCCCAACGUCUGCACCGCAGCGCGAACUGGUGCCCUUGAGUACGCACGACGUUGGCGGAAUUCGCCGUGUAGCGGUGAAAUGCUUAGAUAUGGCGAAGAACUCCGAUUGCGAAGGCAGCUGACGGGAGCGCUACUGACGCUCAUGCUCGAAAGCGCGGGUAUCGAACAGGAUUAGAUACCCUGGUAGUCCGCGCGGUAAACGAUGGAUGCCCGCUAUUUGCGCAUUAGCGCAAGUGGCCAAGUGAAAACGUUAAGCAUCCCACCUGGGGAGUACGCCGGCAACGGUGCAACUCAA